rnacentral:RNase_P_RNA from 1 species
GUAGUCGACCGGUCUGUCGCUGUUUGAAAGAAGAGAGGAAAGUCCGGACAACACAGGGCACCGAACUACCUAACGGGUAGCUGUUCGCGAGAGCAGAGGAAAGCAGAAGAAAAUAACCGCCAUAUUGGUAAGGGUGAGAAGGUGAGGUAAGAGCUCACCGGGUUUUGUAGCAAUGCAAAAUGCCGUGCUCCUUUCGGGUUGCAAGGUCAUGUAUACCGACGUAUGUAGAACGGCCCGUCCGAUGUCGGGGGGUAGACUGCUAAAGUUUGUUGGAGACAGCAAUCGUAGAUAAAUGACAGACAUCUGUUUCGGCAGAUACAGAAUCCGGCUUACAGGUUGACUAUUUUA